AGAAGAAAUACAAUGGAGAUAAAUUAGAUAAAUAAACGACAAAAGAAGAAAUACAAUGUCAUGAACAGUUAAGUGGGAUGUGAAAUAUAUACUCAAGAUGAUGACAUUUUUGUAGGGCUAUUAUAUUUUUGUAGGGCUAUCCUCAUGACUUUUGGUUGGCACUUCAUACUCCUUUUAUCGAGUAAAAAGACAGGCUUUAUCUAAGUAGCUAAGUUGACAGCACUGAAAUAAGCAUACAUCGCUGUAAAAAUAGGUUGUAAGCAUCAAGAUUUUCUUUGAAGUUUGUGAGUCUAUUCCUUCAAUAUGCUAUUGGAGUUGUACGAUGCUUCAAUCUUCUAAUGCUACUUAAUGAGUCGUCCAAGACUAGAUCAUCGUAGAAGUCAAACGACUUCUACUGCCUCUUGUUCACAUGUCAUCUAGACUUCAAUCGUCUAUUAAUUCUUCAUAAGUUGUCUAGCAAACAACAGAUUAUGAUUGUUUAGACCAGAACCAAUCUCAUACUGAGUUAUACUUGACAAAAACAAUGUUGUCAAGAAAAAACAAUGUUGUAUAUUCAUUAGAGGGAAUAUUGUCUCCUAAACGAGCAAGAAAAAACAAUGUUGUCCAAUCUAGUGCAGAAGUCGAAUAUAGAUCUAUGAUUAUAGUUACUUGUGAACUUUUGCGAAUUAAACAACUCUUUUAAGAGUUGAAAUUUUGUGAAAUUGAUAAGAUAAAGUUGCAUUGUGAUAAUCAAACAACCCUUCAUAUUGCUUUCGAUCCUAUUUUAAGCAGAGGUGUUGCGCUUUUGGUUAAUUCAAAGCACAACCUCCCUUGUUUCCCUCUCAUAGUCUAUGUGCAGAUGAUGUUUUUGUCCUUUGCAAGGCUAAUAAGAGAAGUCUUGGAAGUAUUAUGCAGCUAUUUCACAUGUAUGGCUCUGCUUCGAGUCGGUGGCUCAAUAGUGCUAAAAGUCAAUUUUAUACUGAUGCAGUAGAGGAGAAUUUGUUGGAGGAUUUACUAUCUAGUUGGGCAUCAAGUCUUCAAUUUAUGUUGAGUUGAUGGUCGUCAUUGUUGCAAAAGAGAUUUCUAAACCUAACAAUUACAGACAUGUCUAGAUUGAGUGUGACUCCUUUUUGAUUUGCCACGCUUUCUAGAAUUUUGGUAUUGUUUUGUGGAGGCUGAAAGCUCAUUGCAAAAAUGCUCUUAACAUUUGCAAAGUUAUGGAUUUUAAAGUCUCUCAUAUCUUUUGUGAGGGAAUGGAUGUGCUAAUGUUUUGCCAACGUUGCUCUUGUUAAUAGACUUGAUUUUCUUUGGUUUGA